AGCGAACGCUGGCGGCAGGCCUAACACAUGCAAGUCGAACGAACCUUUCGGGGUUAGUGGCGGACGGGUGAGUAACACGUGGGAACGUGCCUUUAGGUUCGGAAUAACUCAGGGAAACUUGUGCUAAUACCGAAUGUGCCCUUCGGGGGAAAGAUUAAUCGCCUUUAGAGCGGCCCGCGUCUGAUUAGCUAGUUGGUUGAGGUAAUGGCUCACCAAGGCGACGAUCAGUAGCUGGUCCGAGAGGAUGAUCAGCCACAUUGGGACUGAGACACGGCCCAAACUCCUACGGGAGGCAGCAGUGGGGAAUCUUGCGCAAUGGGCGAAAGCCUGACGCAGCCAUGCCGCGUGAAUGAUGAAGGUCUUAGGAUUGUAAAAUUCUUUCACCGGGGACGAUAAUGACGGUACCCGGAGAAGAAGCCCCGGCUAACUUCGU
rnacentral:rRNA from 1 species